rnacentral:rRNA from 1 species
UACGUAGGGUGCGAGCGUUGUUCGGAUUUACUGGGCGUAAAGGGCGCGUAGGCGGCAAUUCAAGUCAGCUGUGAAAUCUCCGGGCUUAACUCGGAACGGUCAGCUGAUACUGCUUUGCUAGAGUGCAGAAGGGGCAAUCGGAAUUCUUGGUGUAGCGGUGAAAUGCGUAGAUAUCAAGAGGAACACCUGAGGUGAAGACGGGUUGCUGGGCUGACACUGACGCUGAGGCGCGAAAGCUAGGGUAGCAAACGGG